ACAUUCUUCUAUAUUUGAUGUUUUGGAUUCUGCACAUCUAUUCUAUCAACACUAUCAAUCCCAUCCCCUCUGUGCUUUGAUACUUGUUGUUCUUAAUCUCUCUCUUUCACAAUCAGUCAGCAAAUUCAAUGUUUCUCAUCUUUGGUGCACACCGGCGAUGGGCAGCUUCCACUCAUUGAGACAGCAUAGCAUGUCAAUGGAAAAAAAAAAAAAAAAAAAAAAAAACCUUCACAUGACAGAAACAGUAUUUGACUUUCUGCACUGCAGACCAUUAUAUAUAUAUCAGGCUCUGAUCAGAGUGUGAGGUCUGGAAGGUCUGGAAGGUUUGGUUGGUUGCAAGGGUGAC
rnacentral:sRNA from 1 species